rnacentral:rRNA from 1 species
ACGCUGGCGGCGUGCUUAACACAUGCAAGUCGAACGGACCGAGUUGAUAGCUUGCUAUUGAUGAGGUUAGUGGCAAACGGGUGAGUAACGCGUGAGGAACCUGCCUUGGAGUGGGGAAUAACACAGAGAAAUUUGUGCUAAUACCGCAUAAUGCAGUUGGGUCGCAUGGCUCUGACUGCCAAAGAUUUAUCGCUCUAAGAUGGCCUCGCGUCUGAUUAGCUAGUUGGUGGGGUAACGGCCCACCAAGGCGACGAUCAGUAGCCGACCUGAGAGGGUGACCGGCCACAUUGGGACUGAGACACGGCCCAAACUCCUACGGGAGGCAGCAGUGGGGAAUAUUGCACAAUGGGCGAAAGCCUGAUGCAGCGACGCCGCGUGAACGAAGAAGUAUUUCGGUAUGUAAAGUUCUAUCAGCAGGGAAGAUAAUGACGGUACCUGACUAAGAAGCACCGGCUAAAUACGUG